ACAGGAUUUUGCUCCUUGUAAUGUCCCGC
rnacentral:sRNA from 1 species